rnacentral:rRNA from 1 species
GACGAACGCUGGCGGCGUGCUUAACACAUGCAAGUCGAACGGAAAGGCCCUGCUUUUGUGGGGUGCUCGAGUGGCGAACGGGUGAGUAACACGUGAGUAACCUGCCCUUGACUUUGGGAUAACUUCAGGAAACUGGGGCUAAUACCGGAUAGGAGCUCCUGCUGCAUGGUGGGGGUUGGAAAGUUUCGGCGGUUGGGGAUGGACUCGCGGCUUAUCAGCUUGUUGGUGGGGUAGUGGCUUACCAAGGCUUUGACGGGUAGCCGGCCUGAGAGGUUGACCGGCCACAAUGGGACUGAGAGACGGCCCAGACUCCUACGGGAGGCAGCAGUGGGGAAUAUUGCACAAUGGGCGGAAGCCUGAUGCAGCAACGCCGCGUGCGGGAUGACGGCCUUCGGGUUGUAAACCGCUUUCGCCUGUGACGAAGCGUGAGUGACGGUAAUGGGUAAAGAAGCACCGGCUAACUACGUG